rnacentral:rRNA from 1 species
GUAAGGAAUAUUGGACAAUGGACGCAAGUCUGAUCCAGCCAUGCCGCGUGAAGGAUUAAGGUCCUCUGGAUUGUAAACUUCUUUUAUAAGGGACGAAAAAAGGCUUUUCUAAGUCGUCUGACGGUACCUUAUGAAUAAGCACCGGCUAACUCCGUGCCAGCAGCCGCGGUAAUACGGAGGGUGCAAGCGUUAUCCGGCUUCACUGGGUUUAAAGGGUGCGUAGGCGGGCAGGUAAGUCAGUGGUGAAAUCCAGGAGCUUAACUCUAGAACUGCCAUUGAUACUAUCUGUCUUGAAUAUUGUGGAGGUAAGCGGAAUAUGUCAUGUAGCGGUGAAAUGCUUAGAUAUGACAUAGAACACCUAUUGCGAAGGCAGCUUACUACGCAUAUAUUGACGCUGAGGCACGAAAGCGUGGGGAUCAAACAGGAUUAGAAACCCCUGUAGUCC